rnacentral:rRNA from 1 species
CAGCAGCCGCGGUAACACGGAGGGUGCAAGCGUUAUCCGGAUUCACUGGGUUUAAAGGGUGCGUAGGCGGAUCUGUAAGUCAGUGGUGAAAUCUCCAGGCUUAACCUGGAAACUGCCGUUGAUACUAUAGGUCUUGAAUUUUGUGGAGGUUAGCGGAAUAUGUCAUGUAGAGGUGAAAUUCGUAGAUAUCCGCAGGAACACCAGUGGCGAAGGCGGCUAACUGGUCCAUAACUGACGCUGAGGUGCGAAAGCGUGGGGAGCAAACAGGAUUAGAUACCCGUGUAGUCCCUGUCUCUUAUAA